UCCGUAGGUGAACCUGCGGAAGGAUCAUUAUUGAUUCUAUAAUGGUGAGGCGGGAAAUGUUGUGCUGGCUCCGACAAGGGGCAAGUGCACGCAUAUCCAAUGCAGCCUUACCAAAAACCCCUCAUUCACACUUUGUGCACCUGCUGUAGGUCUGUUAAUAACGGACCUAUGUCUUUUCAUAUCUUCCACAGUAUGUUUAUAGAAUGUUAAUUGGGAUGGUAUAAAUUAUACAACUUUCAGCAACGGAUCUCUUGGCUCUCGCAUCGAUGAAAAACGCAGCGAAUUGCGAUAUGUAAUGUGAAUUGCAAAUUUUCAGUGAAUCAUCAAAUCUUUGAACGCACCUUGCGCUCCUUGGUAUUCCGAGGAGCAUGCCUGUUUGAGUGUCAUUAAUUCUUCUCAGCCCCCUUUGAUAAUUUGUUCGGAGGGGGAUUUGGGGUUGUUGGAGGGUCAUGCUGAGAUGUGAUGUUUCGGCUCCUCUGAAUUGCAUCGGCAAAGUCUUGAGUUAUACAUGACAUAUGUGGGCCAAUCGGUGUGAUAAUGAUCAUCGGGGCUUCCUUGUGUUGGGUGUGCUCGUAUCGAGAUUGCCUUAUAAAAUGAUUGAGGAGUAGCGUAACUAUUGUUGUUGCCUACAACUCAUGUUUAGAGCUUUUGACCUCAAAUCAGGCAGGACUACCCGCUGAACUUAAGCAUAUCAAUAAGCGGAGGAAAAGAAACUAACAAGGAUUCCCCUAGUAACUGCAGGAAAAGGGGGGAAAAA
rnacentral:rRNA from 1 species